GACGAACGCUGGCGGCGUGCCUAAUACAUGCAAGUAGAACGCUGAAGGAGGAGCUUGCUUCUCCGGAUGAGUUGCGAACGGGUGAGUAACGCGUAGGUAACCUGCCUGGUAGCGGGGGAUAACUAUUGGAAACGAUAGCUAAUACCGCAUAAGAGUAGAUGUUGCAUGACAUUUGCUUAAAAGGUGCAAUUGCAUCACUACCAGAUGGACCUGCGUUGUAUUAGCUAGUUGGUGGGGUAACGGCUCACCAAGGCGACGAUACAUAGCCGACCUGAGAGGGUGAUCGGCCACACUGGGACUGAGACGCGGCCCAGACUCCUACGGGAGGCAGCAGUAGGGAAUCUUCGGCAAUGGACGGAAGUCUGACCGAGCAACGCCGCGUGAGUGAAGAAGGUUUUCGGAUCGUAAAGCUCUGUUGUAAGAGAAGAACGAGUGUGAGAGUGGAAAGUUCACACUGUGACGGUAUCUACCA
rnacentral:rRNA from 1 species